UUCCAGACUCCUACGGGAGGCAGCAGUGGGGAAUAUUGGGCAAUGGAGGAAACUCUUACCCAGCAAUGCCGCGUGAAUGAAGAAGGUCUUCGGAUUGUAAAGUUCUUUAAUUGGGGACGAAAAAAAUGACGGUACCCAAGGAAUAAGCCCCGGCUAACUACGUGCCAGCAGCCGCGGUAAUACGGAGGGUGCGAGCGUUAAUCGGAAUUACUGGGCGUAAAGCGCUCGUAGGCGGUAUGUCAAGUCAAGGGUGAAAUCCCCGCGCUCAACGUGGGAACUGCCUUUGAAACUGGCAAACUGGAGUGUGUGAGAGGAUAGUGGAAUUCCAGGUGUAGGAGUGAAAUCCGUAGAUAUCUGGAGGAACAUCAGUGGCGAAGGCGACUAUCUGGCACAUAACUGACGCUGAGGAGCGAAAGCGUGGGUAGCAAACAGGAUUAGAUACCCUCGUAC
rnacentral:rRNA from 1 species